GCGGUCCGAGCUGAAGAGGUUCGCGGUCCGGUUUCACUUCUCCGAACCCUGAGGCAGUGUGUGAAGCUGGGACGCCAGCCAUGUUCCAGACCGCUUGGCGCCAGAGACAAUCUUACUCUGUCUCCCAGGCUGAGUGCAGUGGUGCAAUCACAGCUCACUGCAGCCUCCACCUCCCAGGCCUAAGUGAUCCUCCCAAGGAGUUGAGACUAAGUUGAGACUACAGGAACCAGUGACCUUUGAGGAUGUGGCUGUGUACUUCACCCAGAAUGAAUGGGCCAGCCUGGACUCUGUGCAGAGGGCCCUGUACAGGGAAGUGAUGCUGGAGAAUUAUGCAAAUGUGGCUUCCCUGGCAUUCCCAUUCACCACGCCUGUUCUGGUCUCCCAGCUGGAGCAAGGGGAACUGCCAUGGGGCCUCGAUCCC
rnacentral:lncRNA from 1 species